CUAUGUGGAGAUAUUAAUAAGCUUGAAUGUAGUAUCGGAAGUUUAUAAUGCAUGGCUAGGGAACUGAGGCUAAGGGAGUUAUGUGCUGUGCAUGAUGAGAACUCAAUGCUCAUUAAUGCUGUUAAUGUUUAUAAAUAAAUUAAUUAAACCAAUAGCAUUGUUUUUUAGGUUUCACUGUACAUUUUCAUACCAAUAGAAUUACACAUCAUUCUAAUUAUAGCAAUAAUAAAUUUGUACUAAUCAUACCUACAAAUUUUGUUAUGCUAUGCUUUGUGAUGUAUUAACUUCAUUGUAAGUUAUUAUUUAAAGACAAUUUUACUAAAUAUUUAAAACAAUACUUGAAUUAUUUUCUAUAUACAUUUUCAUUAUGUGCUUUAACUGUAGCUGACCAGUUGAUGGAAGAUACUGCAGAGUUUGGCAGGGAAAUAACCCAAGACAGCAAAGCGGCUCUUUUGGCGCAUUUACCAAGAGGACUAACAUGGCCACAAAUUCAUGAGAUCAUGCAGGAGCCGUACAGUAUAACAGCAGUACAAGUUCUAUAAAAGAUCCACGACCUACUGAAGCCCAGCUAAUUAACAAAUAAGUUUUUAAAAACUGUAAUUUUAUCCCACCUGGGUACUUAUAAUUUACUAACUGUCACUUGGAAAGUAAUACAUGUACAUGCAUUCAUGUUCUGAAUUUCUUUGAACAAUAAAAUUAUAUAAAAGUAUUUUAAUGAAAUUGAGCACCUAAAUUGCAUUAAAGUGAAAGUAGCUGAGAAAAAUAGUAUCCUUAAUUGUUCUCAUGGGCAGCUACAUAUAUUGUGACAAACAUGAAGUAGCUAAAAUAACUUAAAUUUUUCAUUUUGUUUCUUGUAUAUCCUUUGUACAGGGUUCGUGAAUUGUUACUGUAUAUUACUUGACUUGCUUGUAUUUUGUUACUUUGAAUACAUGUUGUUAAGGUUGCAUUAUACUUUUUAACUUUUAAAGUAGCGCCUGUUCUGUUAUGUAAGGGCCUGAUUUAUGAUAAUGGACCUAGAGGCUUUGUAAGCAUGUAUAAAACAACACUUGUUUGAUCUGAAUAAUUUGUUAAAUAAAUGUAACACAAUUUGUAAUCUGAUGUUAUAUUUUGAUGAAUUGUGAACAAAAUAAUACAUCAAAGAAACUAA